GCUAGCGUUGCUCGGAAUCACUGGGCGUAAAGCGCACGUAGGCGGACUCUUAAGUCAGGGGUGAAAUCCUGGAGCUCAACUCCAGAACUGCCUUUGAUACUGGGAGUCUUGAGUUCGGGAGAGGUGAGUGGAACUGCGAGUGUAGAGGUGAAAUUCGUAGAUAUUCGCAAGAACACCAGUGGCGAAGGCGGCUCACUGGCCCGAUACUGACGCUGAGGUGCGAAAGCGUGGGGAGCAAACAGG
rnacentral:rRNA from 1 species